rnacentral:lncRNA from 1 species
GAGGGGAGAGAGUGGGAUGGAUUGAGAACUUGGGGUUAAUAGAUGCAGACUAUUGCCUUUGGAAUGGAUAAGCAAUGAGAUCCUGCUGUGUAGCACUGGGAACUAUAUCUAGUCACUUAUGAUGCAGCAUGAUAAUGUGAGAAAAAAGAAUCUAUACAUGUCUGUGUAAUUGGGUCACCAUGCUGUACAGUAGAAAAUUGACAGAACACUGUAAACCAGCUAUAAUGAAAAAAAAAAAAUAAAGUUUUUUAAAGGGGGAAAAAAAGUAUCAAAGUGUUUCAAUCAAGUGAAAGGCUGGGAGUGUAUGAGGCAGCUGGUAGGUGGAGGAGUCAAGAAAAUGGCCAGAAGUAAUGACAUUUAGCUUCAUCAUAUAGGGUUAGCAAGCUGCCACUGUGGGAAGGAAGUUUGCAGCCCCCCCCCUCCCCCCAGUUUAUCCACCCUCUAGGGAGAAGGGAUGCAUGGAUUGGUCAGAUUCAAGAACAAUGAAGUAAGCCACAGUCCUGGGGGCGGGGCCUCAGCCUGUGAAAAAAGAAGGUCUAAGGUAGGUCCCAGUCUGGGAAUGGCUCUCGCCAAUUUCUUCUCUCUCAGACCUUCAAGGAGGUGGUUCUUGAGCUGAGUCCUGAGGGACAAGGGAUCGGGGUCAGCAGAGGCCAUGAAAGCUUUGGGUGCAGGCACGCCGGGGCUCCUGGAGGAGUGCUUGGAGAAUGGAGGCGAAUCCAGCAAAAAGAAUCAGAGAGGCCACCAGAGCUUCCUAGUGUCAGCAUCCAAGAACGGAGCUUAGCAAAACAGCAGUACCCUCAGGAACAGAUCCGGCCCAACCUUUCCCUUAUUUUCAUGCGUAAAGGUCAUGAGAUCAGGUUCCUGGAUCAAGUUUAUCAAGGUUAAUGAGAGUUUAGUUGAGGUAAGUUCAAGGGGAAGCGGCAAGGUAGGAAGAGCAUUGGCAAACUUAAGGCUGUGACAUGGCUGAUGGCCAGGGCAGGUGGAUAAUUGUGGGAAGCCGAGAAAGGAACAUGAAGAGUAGCGUGCAGACCUGCAUUCAAAGCUUAUUCCGGCUGCUGUAGAGGAGGGAUCCGCUGAGAGCAAGAAAGUGUGUGGAGAGACCAAAUAAGGCUAUUUCGUCUGAGCAGCAGAUGCUAGCUUUGAUCAGCCUGUUUAUAACGGGAAUGGAUGGGGACAGAAUGAUGAAAUAUUUCCGGGUUAGAAUUGACCAGGCUUGAGUGGGGGAUGAGGGAAAGGAGGGAGUCAUUCAGUUUUUGGUUUUAACAACAUAGGACGGGGGUGGGGGGAACUCUGGGACAACGCUGGGGAGGAAGAUGAGAACUCAGGUUGCACCCGAGGUGGCUGGGCACCACCACAUGGAUCUGGUAAGUAAGAGGUGGUUGGCUGGACAUAUGUAUGGCUCUUGGGUUCAGAGGUCCUAGAAGCCAAGGAAGUCAUCUUGCCCAAGGUGAAAAGAAUGUCUAGGACAGAGCCCUAGAGAACCCCCCC